UAUUAUAUGUCUUAAAAUAAUUUUCCUUUUUUUCCCCCAAAUCUCAAAGAACACAAACAAAACAUCUUCGCCGUUCCUGAACCUUAACCCUAUUCCGCGUUCAUUCCGUUGAAGAACAAUCACUUCGCCGUCCACUUACGCCGUUCACUUCCGCCGUCCAUUCCGCCAUCGAAGAAGCUCUCACAGUCAACAAGUUUAUUGAGUGGAUAUGGAUUGUGGCUGUUGUGGUGAAAACAUGAAUCACAAAAUGAAAAUGGAUGAAGAAUUCAACUUGGUUCCCAUUUAUCUAUGUGUUCACCGAAUGAAUUGGAAUUUCUAUGGAUGAAGUUAUGCCAAAGUAUCUUAUGGCUUUUCUUUACAAGUCUGCUAGGAACCUGCUGUUGCAUUUCUAUUCCUCUAGAGAGUCAUGGUUUACAUAGGAAAGGCAUGGCAUGUGCUGAUUUGCAAGUUAUUGACAUCUAUAUAUAUAUGUUCUAAAGUAAGUUCAAACACUCCUCUUUUGUAUAGUAACUUAUGAAAAUGAAAAUUUGUGUCUCAUCUGUUAUUUUGCUUUUGCUGUGUUGUUUGGUGUCCCGUUAUUAUGCAUUUGAUAGUGAUAGUAAUGUGUUUGUUGGUUGGGUUCUUUGUAAGUUGGAGGUUUGGUGGGAGGGCAAUUGCAUUCACUAGUUUUUGCUUAUUGAUUAUAUCAGUCUUAAGCACUUCUCUAAUUUAUUAACUAGUUUUUCGGUCAUAUUCUGAUUAUAAUACGUCUACUCAAUCUGCAUCGACCAACAUGUAUGGUAAAACCAGCAGCUCCACCAACAUAUCCACUGAAAUGGGGUGAGGAUGAAUAUCGGGAACAUCUGACCCAAAUGGCACAAACUGAUGGUGGUGCUACUGGUGACACUCAAGAGGGUGAUGAUCACAGAAAAUUUAAAUAUGGAAAACUGUUUCUGGGGGUAAGUCUCGGGGUAGGUGUUAUGGUACCGGACACUUGGUUGUAAACCUUAGGUGUGUAGACUUUGUGGGUUAUUUUGAAGUCAAGUCUAAGAGCUAUUUUGAUAGGUUAUAUAUUUUGUGGGAUAUUUUGGUGUUGUAUGUUUUGUGGGAUAUAUAUUUUUAUGGAUGUAGAACUUUUUGUUGCAUUUUAUGAGAAAUAGAUGGUCCUGUUAAGAA